CCGCGCCCGGCCUUCAUUGAUUUUAAGAUAUACUCUGAUCUUAAAGAUGCUACAGUGUGAAAAGUAAUCAUGUCUGAGAGUCAAUGAAAUGCAGAAUGAAUGGGUCAGAUGAAUCCAGCUGUUUGCCUUUGUUUGACUGACUUUUAGUCUUUGAUUUCAGAACUGUAGAAGAUUUGAAAAAUAAUGAAAGCCAAUGGAAAGAUUCCCCGCUGGCAACUAGACACCGUGAAAUGCUGAAGCGCUGUAAAACUCAGCUUAAGAAACUGGUACGUGAGC